rnacentral:tRNA from 1 species
CAAUCUCGUAUUUUAUUUUAGAAUGUUAGCUUUGGGGGUUAGAGGUUUCCUGUGUUGUGGGGUGCGGAUUGA